UACGUAGGGCGCAAGCGUUAUCCGGAAUUAUUGGGCGUAAAGAGCUCGUAGGCGGUUUGUCGCGUCUGCCGUGAAAGUCCGGGGCUCAACUCCGGAUCUGCGGUGGGUACGGGCAGACUAGAGUGAUGUAGGGGAGACUGGAAUUCCUGGUGUAGCGGUGAAAUGCGCAGAUAUCAGGAGGAACACCGAUGGCGAAGGCAGGUCUCUGGGCAUUAACUGACGCUGAGGUGCGAAAGCGUGGGGGAGCAAACAGG
rnacentral:rRNA from 1 species